UUCGAUCGCAACCCCUGGUUAGACGGGAUUACCCGCUGAGUUUAAGCAUAUCAAUAAGUAGAGGAAGAUAAACUUACAAGGAUUCCCCCUAGUAACGGCGAGUGAACCCGGAAUAGCCCAACUUGAGAAUCGAGCGGCUCGGCUAUCAGAAUUGUAGUCUG
rnacentral:rRNA from 1 species